ensembl:snRNA U6 U6 spliceosomal RNA
GUGCUCGUUUCAGCAGCCCAGAUACUAAAAUUGGAACCAUACAGAGAAGAUUAGCAUGGCCCCUGCGCAAGGAUGACACGCAAAAUCAUGAAGUGUUCCAUAUUUAA